AAGGAAAAAAAUUAUUCAAGUCAGGACACGUUUUGAAUGGUGUAGAAACAGAAGAUUCAAAUAAACAUUCAACCAUAACCUGCUCAGUUGUCACUCAAACCAAAGUUUCCGAUAUUUACAGUAUAAAAAUUGAUGUGGCGUCAAGGUCAUCUUUCUCAAUCCCUAUGGCGCACGCGUAGUCAAAAAAUGGCGCGCUUAUUUAAAAUUAACUUUCAACAACGAAUAAUUUAUUUUUUUUAAGGAAGUAUGGGAGUUAAGUUGAAAUAAUGAGAUCAAUUUAAAAUUUUUAGGAUCGAAAGAAACAUAUUUAUUACGUGUUGUGUUAAAAUUUUAGAGACCUAGGGUUCAUAGUUUAUUUAUAAAUAAUUAUAUAUCUAUUCCGAUAGAUUAAAAAUAUGUCAUUUAAUAUUGUAAUGAUAUACCAGAUCUCACACCUACUCUUGUUUUAAUAAAUUUCAUGAUGAGAAAAUAAUGAGAAAGCUUUGAAAAAUUCAUUGUAAAAAAAGAAAGACCCAGUUACUGACACUGGCUUAGUUGUUUGACACUUGCAAUUUUAUUUCAAUUAAAACAAUAAAAUGUU